rnacentral:rRNA from 1 species
UACGUAGGUGGCAAGCGUUGUCCGGAAUUAUUGGGCGUAAAGCGCGCGCAGGCGGUCCUUUAAGUCUGAUGUGAAAGCCCACGGCUCAACCGUGGAGGGUCAUUGGAAACUGGGGGACUUGAGUACAGAAGAGAAGAGUGGAAUUCCACGUGUAGCGGUGAAAUGCGUAGAGAUGUGGAGGAACACCGGUGGCGAAGGCGGAUCUCUGGGCCUGUUCUGACGCUGAGGCGCGAAAGCUAGGGGAGCGAACAGG